rnacentral:rRNA from 1 species
UACGGAGGGUGCAAGCGUUGUCCGGAUUUAUUGGGUUUAAAGGGUGCGUAGGCGGCCCUGUAAGUCAGUGGUGAAAUACUGCAGCUUAACUGUAGCAUUGCCAUUGAUACUGUAGGGCUUGAGUACAGAUGAGGUAGGCGGAAUUGAUGGUGUAGCGGUGAAAUGCAUAGAUACCAUCAAGAACACCGAUUGCGAAGGCAGCUUACUAAGCUGUAACUGACGCUGAGGCACGAAAGCGUGGGGAUCGAACAGGG